rnacentral:rRNA from 1 species
UACGUAGGCAGCGAGCGUUGUUCGGAGUUACUGGGCGUAAAGCGUGCGUAGGCGGUUGUCUAAGUUUGGUGUGAAAUCUCCCGGCUUAACUGGGAGGGUGCGCCGAAAACUGGGUGACUGGAGUGUCGGAGAGGUAAGCGGAAUUCCUGGUGUAGCGGUGAAAUGCGUAGAGAUCAGGAGGAACACCUGUGGUGUAGACAGCUUACUGGACGAUAACUGACGCUGAGGCACGAAAAGCGUGGGUAGCAAACAGG